GGGCAACCCGGCAUGGAUGCCGGGUUAGCCGCCCCCGGCCAUGGAUGGCCGAUGGCGACGGGCCC
rfam:Pseudomonas sp. TW4, complete genome.